rnacentral:rRNA from 1 species
UAACGCGUAAGGAACUUGCCUCUUGGUCUGGGACAACUGUUGGAAACGACAGCUAAUACCGGAUAUUAUGAGAUUCUCGCAUGGGAAACUUAUGAAAGCUAUAUGCGCCAAGAGAGAGCCUUGCGUUCCAUUAGCUAGUUGGUGGGGUAACGGCCCACCAAGGCGACGAUGGAUAGCCGGCCUGAGAGGGUGAACGGCCACAAGGGGACUGAGACACGGCCCUUACUCCUACGGGAGGCAGCAGUGGGGAAUAUUGGACAAUGGACCAAAAGUCUGAUCCAGCAAUUCUGUGUGCACGAUGAAGGUCUUCGGAUUGUAAAGUGCUUUCAGUUGGGAAGAAGCAAGUGACGGUACCAACAGAAGAAGCGACGGCUAAAUACGUGCCAGCAGCCGCGGUAAUACGUAUGUCGCAAGCGUUAUCCGGAUUUAUUGGGCGUAAAGCGCGUCUAGGCGGAAAAAUAAGUCUGAUGUUAAAAUGCGGGGCUCAACUCCGUAUUGCGUUGGAAACUGUUUUUCUAGAGUACUGGAGAGGUGGGCGGAACUACAAGUGUAGAGGUGAAAUUCGUAGAUAUUUGUAGGAAUGCCGAUGGAGAAGUCAGCUCACUGGACAGAUACUGACGCUAAAGCGCGAAAGCGUGGGGAGCAAACAGGAUUAGAUACCCUGGUAGUCCACGCCGUA